AACAGAUCAAGGAGAGAGAGAGAGAGAGAGAGAGAAUGAGCUCUAGCCCUUGCCGCCCAUACUUUCCGUCACUGGCUCCGAUUCCGGCUAAAUUCGGCCACAAUUCUUACACCAUUCUUUUCCUCUCUUCAUGGGCUUUCUAUUGAUAUAAGUUUCAAGACCUAUCAUCAAGUGUACGCGAUGAAUCGAAUGAGAGAAGAUUGAGUGAUUUUCCGGCUAUUUUUCAAAUUCCGGCCAAACGUCGACAUUUUGGAGAAACCCCAAGGUAAUCCGGUUGAGCAAGUUUCUGAGGAUAUUCCCGAGAUGGGACUCACCUAGUCACCCUUCAUUGUAGUAGAUUUUGCUGAGGUCGGACCGCAGCACGUUGAGGCAUUCUCCUUAUCCACCGUCAUCCAUCUCGACUUGUAGGAUUUGUUUCCUUUCGUACUUUUAUAUUUCUUACUUAAUUAGACUAUGCAACUUAUGCUCUGAUGUAACCAUAAAUUGACUAUUGGAUUCCUAAGAUGUAAUUGUUGGGUUAGAACCCCUUGCUUUGGUUGUUUGUGGAUGUUUUGUGAAGGACAUAAGGUCCUAUUUGAAAGUUGUUGGGGAUUUAUGAUAUUAGAAGUAUAUUAUUGGAUUUA